CCGGAAGGACAGUGCUCCUCCCCUCAGGGGCUGCUUCUGAGCUUGGCUCCUGAUUGACAGGAGGCAGAGCCCCGUGUUGUCACUAGCGGGCCACAUCGCUCAGGAGUAAAACAGUUUCUGUGAGAGA
rnacentral:sRNA from 1 species